rnacentral:rRNA from 1 species
CAGUUCGGAUUGCAGGCUGCAACUCGCCUGCAUGAAGCCGGAAUCGCUAGUAAUCGCGGGUCAGCAUACCGCGGUGAAUGUGUUCCUGAGCCUUGUACACACCGCCCGUCAAGCCACGAAAGUGGGGAGUAUCCGAAGUCGCUGAGGUAACCGCAAGGAGCCAAGCGCCGAAGAUAAGCCCCGCGAUUGGGACUAAGUCGUAACAAGGUAGCCGUAGGGGAACCUGCGGCUGGAUCACCUCCUUU